rnacentral:ncRNA from 1 species
AAAACUUAACAGAUCCACAUAUAGUAAGGAUUAAAAAUUUGAGAGCUUUUUUUUGAUUCUAUAGAUGAUAGUGCAUGAUUUUUCUUGGUUGAUUAAGUGAUUUUUCUAAUUAAUUUUAUUAAUAAAUAAAACUUUAGCCUCCUAAUUAGUUAUGCAAAGAAUUUUUUUUCUUUUGCAGCUAACUUCUUAGAAGAACUAUUAGUGUCUAAUCCAUAGAAGUUUGACACAAUAACAGGUCUGUGAUGCCUUUAGAUGAUCUAG